CCUACGGGAGGCUGCAGUGGGGAAUAUUGCGCAAUGGGCGAAAGCCUGACGCAGCGACGCCGCGUGAGGGAUGAAGGUCUUCGGAUCGUAAACCUCUGUCAGCAGGGAAGAACGGUCACUGUGCUAAUCAGCAGUGAAUUGACGGUACCUGCAAAGGAAGCACCGGCUAACUCCGUGCCAGCAGCCGCGGUAAUACGGAGGGUGCGAGCGUUAUCCGGAUUUAUUGGGUUUAAAGGGUGCGUAGGCGGAACAUUAAGUCAGCGGUAAAAGCGAGGGGCUCAACCCCUUUAAGCCGUUGAAACUGGUGAUCUUGAGUGGGCGAGAAGUAUGCGGAAUGCGUGGUGUAGCGGUGAAAUGCAUAGAUAUCACGCAGAACUCCGAUUGCGAAGGCAGCAUACCGGCGCCCGACUGACGCUGAGGCACGAAAGCGUGGGGAUCGAACAGGAUUAGAUACCCCAGUAGUC
rnacentral:rRNA from 1 species